GGGAAUUUUGGACAAUGGGCGAAAGCCUGAUCCAGCCAUUCCGCGUGCAGGAUGAAGGCCCUCGGGUUGUAAACUGCUUUUGUACAGAACGAAAAAGCUCUGGUUAAUACCUGGAGUCCAUGACGGUACUGUAAGAAUAAGCACCGGCUAACUACGUGCCAGCAGCCGCGGUAAUACGUAGGGUGCAAGCGUUAAUCGGAAUUACUGGGCGUAAAGCGUGCGCAGGCGGUGAUGUAAGACAGUUGUGAAAUCCCCGGGCUCAACCUGGGAACUGCAUCUGUGACUGCAUCGCUGGAGUGCGGCAGAGGGGGAUGGAAUUCCGCGUGUAGCAGUGAAAUGCGUAGAUAUGCGGAGGAACACCGAUGGCGAAGGCAAUCCCCUGGGCCUGCACUGACGCUCAUGCACGAAAGCGUGGGGAGCAAACAG
rnacentral:rRNA from 1 species